rnacentral:rRNA from 1 species
GACGCCGGGCACGACUACGAGGGCCUCUCGUACUGGUCGGGCAGCCCCAACGGCGAGGCAUUCGCGGUGAUCGACCUCGCCAACCUCCAUGCCGUCCGCGUCGACCCACGCAAGGCCACCGCAUGGGUCGACUCCGGGGCGGCGAUUGGGGAGCUCUACUACCACGUAGCCGCGGCGGCGCCGGGGCUGGGCUUCCCGGCCAGCGUGUGCCCUUCCGUGGGCGUGGGGGGCAUCUUCAGCGGCGGCGGCAUAGGCCUGAUGAUGCGCAAGUACGGCCUCUCCGCCGACAACGUUCUUGACGCCACCAUGGUCGACGCCCAUGGGAAUCUGCUGGCGAACAAGAAGGCCAUGGGGGACGACCUCUUCUGGGCCAUCCGCGGCGGGGGCGGCGGGAAUUUCGGCAUCGUGCUGUCGUGGAAGGUGAGGCUCGUGCCGGUCCCACCAAAGGUGACCUUCUUCAAAGUUGCCAAGACCAUGGACCAGGGCGCGGUCCACGCGGUGACCAAAUGGCAAACGCUCGCGCCGGCGCUUCCCGACAACCUCAGCGUGCGUGUUGUCAUACAAAAUCGUCAGGCCAACUUCGAAGGCCUGUACCUAGGCAAGUGCAACGCGGUGGUGGCGACGAUGCGCAACCGGUUCCCGAAGCUCGGCGUGACGCGCGCCGACUGCAAGGAGAUGAGCUGGCUGCAGUACACGGCGUACAUAUACUUCGGCGACGCCGUCAACAGCAUGCCGCUGGAGGCGCUCCUCCUCAACCGGUCCACGACCCUAGGCCCCUUCGUUAAGAACAAGUCCGACUACGUCAAGAAAGCUCUCACCAAGGAGACGUGGGAGAAGAUCUUCCUCUGGCCCAACGGUGCUGCCACGGGGCAGCUCAUCCUGGAGCCGCACGGCGGAAGGAUGAGCCGCAUCGCCGCCGACGACACCCCGUUCCCUCACCGGAGCAGCGUGCUCUACAACAUCCAGUACAUGGAGCUCUGGAAUGACAAAGGGGCUGGAUGCAACGCUACGCCGAACUGGAUCGGGAGCCUGUACGACUUCAUGGCACCGUUCGUGAGCAACAACCCGAGGGGCGCGUACGUGAACUACCGAGACCUCGACAUUGGUGUGAACAAUGUUGUUGGCGGGGUGACGAGCUACAAAAGUGGCAAGGUGUGGGGUGAGAGGUAUUUCGGCCCCGCAAACUUUAGGAGACUCGCGGAAAUCAAGAGCAAGGUGGACGCGGCCGACUACUUCGGGAACGAGCAGAGCGUGCCGCCACUUGCCUUGAACUAG